rnacentral:lncRNA from 1 species
CAAGGAGCGUCACAACAGAAAAUAUGACAGCAUCUCGGCUACAUAUGGAAUCGCUUAUCAUACAGACCACUUGUAAAAGAGUUAAUCUCAACAACAAAAAUCUAAAUGUGAUCAAUGCGAGGUCUUUGCAGCGAUUUCUCAAACCUAUUUAAAUGAACCGCUUCUGCUGAUGCAUUCAUUGUCAACAAGGCUUCCUUGCUGGACGCUGAGACGUGAUAAACAUUUGUUUGGUCUGGUCGGCAUCUCUUUUUUUUCGAAUGCACGGUGCCGGCCACACGGGAUUCCUUCAUGCUGUCGACUUCCAUGUCAACACAUAGCACAUGUGCUACACAAAUCAAGAAAAAAGAGUGCACAAACUGCAACGGUUCAGCACAAAGUGUUGCUACAGCAGCAACAACUGCGCCUGCUACUGAGUCUGCUGCCACCUCAUAUCCUGCAGCCAGACCAACUAAAUGUGCUGCCUCUUCUGGUCCUGCAGCCUUAGCAGUCACACUGCCUUCUGUCUCUGAUGCUGACAUGUCGCAUUGUUCGUUCAGCAAGGAUGAACAGCUAAGAUAAUCAAGGAUCCACAAGGAGUAUUAUAGGUUGACCAGCCUAACGGUUGGAUGCUCUCAAGGGCCGCCUCAAAAAAGGACUUUCAUUUGGUUCAGCGGUCCACCAUCGCAAUAUGGUGGACAGAUGCCCGCGUGCAUAGGAGCUUCCUGGGAACGAACCAUUUUGCAGCAGAAGGUGGCCAGAAGCCUGCACAGCAGCCAUUGUCCCCACACAAAGUGGAAGCAUAGAGAGUCUCUUCCAGGCACUACAGUGCUGCCCAAAGCCCUUCGGAAGAGGAAGCGAAACAGGCCGCCCAGAACACCAGGCUUUUGGCUGUCCCAGAAGACAUCCAAGUUGAGGCGAGGGCAGAAAAAAUAAACAGAGAAGUCAUUUUCAUUUCCAAA